AGGCAACGAAGUUGAAGAUCGCCAAAAACUUCAAGGAAGUACAGCCAGAAGAAGUUGACAUUUGUGUGCAAGGGAAUACAAACUUGAAGAAACAGGGAAGCAGUAGUUCAAACUACGAGCUAAGCAUUCAGUGCGCCCAAAGGGAAGUACAAAGAAGUUUGAUGUGUGAGACGCCAUAGCCCCCAAAACCAGUUGAGGAGAUUGUUGAUGUGACAACACCUGAAGUUCAAAUGUCAACUGGGUGGAAUCACAGGCAAACUUGCUACUCACCAUGCAAAAAUAACAACGAGUACACAGCCGAGACUCCCCCACUCAAAAUGAAGAAGGACUACUCCAUGGUUCCAAUAAUAGGAAAAAGGUUAUUUGCAGAGGAGGAAAGCUGUCAACAAGAAUCCAGUGGCAGCAAAAGGAAUCCAGUACAACUAAUGGAAGAAAAAACUUCAGGACAACUCAAAAUUCAUGGAGAAAACAUGUUUUGGCAAGAGCGUAGCACAUUGGUCAACAUAACUGAUGAUUUUUACAACACAAAUAUCUCGUUAGGAAGGCCAAGCAGUUUCAGUGGAAAAGAAAAUGCACCACCAAAGAGGAUUGUCCAACCAAGCAGGUACCGUAGCUCACCGUACGACUGCAGCAAAAGGGGCCCAAUAAUGCCACAUGAGAGAAAGAUGUAUGAGAACAUAACAUCUCUGGCCAAUGUUGAAGGAUCCAAACCUGCAGUUUUGAUUGACAAAACCAUUGCCACAUUUGGACAGUUGGGUAACUCGAUGAAAAUAGGUGGCCGGGUCCAGGCCUAUGUCAUAAAUGUGUACUGUAGGCACCUAUUUAAUGAAAAUCAUCCUAGGAACUCACUCAAGCACUAUUUCUUCCACACUGCAUUUGAAUAUUUCCUGGGCAAAUGGAAAAAUGAUGAGGCAAGAAUUUGGUGGAGGAAGAAACUGAUUACGAGUUUCAUUGGAGCUGGAAAAGCACAUAAUCUUUCGAUGUUAGACAAGGUUUUUUGUCAAACUUCCUCUUUUCAUUUUUCCACAACACAAGUUCAGCUAUAAUUUGGUUUAGUGUUUUUUCCUUAUUUCAAUAUACACUAACUUGUUGUCUAUAUUUUCCCUUUUUCUGCAUCAACUCCAAAAUGGAUGUACACAAGUUGUACUUUCCAACACUACACGAGGAACAUUACUUUCUGUUCGUCGUUGACAUCAAGGGUCACAUGUUUUAUUUUCUAGAUUCUUUCUACGAUGAGAAGAGCUCAUAUCAUAUGAACAUAAAAAAGAAGAUUAUCUCAAGCUUUAUAUGCACUUGGUAUGAAGCUCGGCUCCAGCCAAUGGAUUUCAAUGCAUUCCCUGCUGUUUACCCUAAAGUCCCUCAACAAGAUAACGAUAUUGAUUGUGGCAUUUUCACUAUGAAACUAAUGGGAUGGUGCCCAAGGAAUCCAACCCCUAUAGUUUUUUCACCAAAAGAUGUCCCAGAUGCAAGGAUCUGAUAUGCUAUUGAUCUCAUGUUCAGCCACUACAACACUUUGGAUGACGAGAAGAAGCGUGUGAAGGAGUUCCGCCUAUAGACAUGAAAAAGUGCUGACAGCUCCUAAAAGACACCACUCAUAGAUGAUAAGAGGAGCUGUAUCAAGAGUCAUAUGUGAACACACAAUGCUACAGGCAUAUAUAUGUGAACACACAAUGCAAAUAUGAUUCCUUGAAAGAGAAGGGGCGGGGGGGAAUAUAUGUAUGCUACAGGCAUAUAUAUGUGAACACACAAUGCAUAUAUAUUAGUUUUUAGUAUCUGCAAGCAUGUUUUGAACAUGUAUUCGUGCUCGGUUUUUUUUUCCAGUAUGCUCUUUUUUCAAGCAAAAAAAUCUGAAUUGUGUUUUUUACCCGUUUUUUAAAGUAUUCAAAGACCAAAGAAAGUUUGAUUGUUUUGAUAUAAACACUCACAUUUUUUGUGUCUGUUUGUGUUUUUUUGACAGAAAAUACCCAAGAAAGUUGCUGCUGCCACGCUGUUUGAAGAACAGGGGGUUGUUGGUAUUUCUGUGGAUGGUUGGAGAUUCAAAAAAAUCUCAUAGAAAACUACUGAUGAUGGCCGCAUUGUGUUUGGCAGCAAGAAGUGGAAAAACUUCGCAGCUAGCAGAGGACUCAAAGUCAACACAGCUGUUCUUAUUGGCUUCAAGAGCAGCGAGAGGGAUGAUGUCCAUGUCCUGGUUAUCUUGAAGAAGCUUGGCUAGGCACCAGGCACAGCAACUGAUGACAAGCAGAGCUGCGUCUAUAAUACUCAUCUGUUGGGUAUUCUAUAUAUUUCUGUGUCGAAGUCUGUAUGACGAACCUUUUUUCAUUUUUAUGCCAUGUUGAACCUGUCAAUGUAGUUUUGCGUUUCUUAUGUGUCCACCAAACAAUGCGGCUUGAAUAAUAUAUGAUGGGAACCCCUUUUUCUACAUUAUAUUCAAGGGUUCACCUAAGUUUUUUU